rnacentral:rRNA from 1 species
GACGAACGCUGGCGGCGUGCUUAACACAUGCAAGUCGAACGGAAAGGCCCUGCUUGCAGGGUGCUCGAGUGGCGAACGGGUGAGUAACACGUGGGUGAUCUGCCCCUUACUUUGGGAUAAGCCUGGGAAACUGGGUCUAAUACUGGAUAGGACCAUGCUGUAGGUGGUGUGGUGGAAAGAUUUUUUCGGUAAGGGAUGAGCUCGCGGCCUAUCAGCUUGUUGGUGGGGUAAUGGCCUACCAAGGCGUCGACGGGUAGCCGGCCUGAGAGGGUGGACGGCCACAUUGGGACUGAGAUACGGCCCAGACUCCUACGGGAGGCAGCAGUGGGGAAUAUCGCACAAUGGGCGCAAGCCUGAUGCAGCGACGCCGCGUGGGGGAUGACGGCCUUCGGGUUGUAAACUCCUUUCAGCCAUGACGAAGCCUCUUUUGGGGUGACGGUAGUGGUAGAAGAAGCACCGGCUAACUACGUG